rnacentral:rRNA from 1 species
CCUACGGGGCGCAGCAGUCGAGAAUCAUUCACAAUGGGGGAAACCCUGAUGGUGCGACGCCGCGUGGGGGAAUGAAGGUCUUCGGAUUGUAAACCCCUGUCAUGUGGGAGCAAAUUAAAAAGAUAGUACCCCAAGAGGAAGAGACGGCUAACUCUGUGCCAGCAGCCGCGGUAAUACAGAGGUCUCAAGCGUUGUUCGGAAUCACUGGGCGUAAAGCGUGCGUAGGCUGUUUCGUAAGUCGUGUGUGAAAGGCGCGGGCUCAACCCGCGGACGGCACAUGAUACUGCGAGACUAGAGUAAUGGAGGGGGAACCGGAAUUCUCGGUGUAGCAGUGAAAUGCGUAGAUAUCGAGAGGAACACUCGUGGCGAAGGCGGGUUCCUGGACAUUAACUGACGCUGAGGCACGAAGGCCAGGGGAGCGAAAGGGAUUAGAUACCCUUGUAGUC